rnacentral:lncRNA from 1 species
CUUGAUUCUUUCAACACCGUGUACCGUCACCGUGCAUGCAUAGCGGGACCCUGUGAUUCAGUCAGCGUAUUGGCAGUGGGCUCACUUGAUUGCAGAUCUGAGAUAUGUGUGCGUGCCGCAACAAGAGGUCAUUCGGAACGCGGCUGGUGGAGAAACACGCACAGCUUGUUGGAAUCCGCGCCCAUAGCCAAUAUUCGCUCUUUCCUAUCCGUGACAGAGGCUGCAAAAAUGACGAUCAAAAAAAGUAAAACCGUCGUUUUUGAAAGACGUGCAGGGGAUUUAACUGCGUUGUAUUGUAUGAAUGAUUGGAUGAUUGCAGUGGUGUUGGCUAUUAUUACCAUGAUGUCUGUAUGGGCCGCACUCAUCAUAUACAGAUACAUACAGACAGAGAGAGGUAAAAGAAGAAGGAAGGUUGAUGACGACACUAUUUUGGAAACUGAAAAGGACGACAAUGAGACGCGAAACGAAGAAGAACAAAUACUAUCCCGUGUCGAGUCAACAGAGGAGGGUGAAGAAGUCGUGCCAGAGACACUGGAGAGCUGGGAUGGAGAGGAAUGGAGGAGAGAGCCAAUGGAAUGGAUUCCAACAACCAAUGAGGAUGUAGAACCCAUUGAGGGGAUCCCAACCACCAAUAAGGAUGUAGAACCCAUUGAGGGGAUCUCAGCAACAACCAAUGAAGGUGUAGAACCCAUUGAGGGGAUCCCAACAAUAACCAUUGAUGAUAUAGAACCCAUUACAAGGAUCCGAACAACAACCAAUGAAGAUUUAGAACCCAUUAAACAGAUCCGAGCACGGACCAAUGAGGAUCUACAACCCAUUAGACGCAUCCGAACACUAACCAAUGAGGAUCUAGAACCCAUUAGACGCAUCCGAACACUAACCAAUGAGGAUCUAGAACCAAUUAGAUGGAUCCGAACAGCAACCAAUGAGGAUCUAGAACCAAUUAGACGGAUCCGAACAGCAACCAAUGAGGAUCUACAACCCAUUAGACGGAUCCGAACAACAACCAAUGAGAGCGAUGGUCCUUACACGUGGGAGUCAUAUGCUGAGUGGCAGAUCGUUGAGGAGUUUCACCUCGGCUCUCAACCUCAACAGCACUGUGAAGGCAUAUGUCAGCACUAUGACGGCUUAUGUCAGGUCUGUGGAGGCUUGUGUCAUUGCAGUGAAUGCUUAUGUCAGUUCUACGAAGGCUUAUGUCAGGACGACGCCGAGUCCCAGACUGACUGUACCGUGGAUCAAGAGGAGCAGGCUUCUACCAGUCACUAUUCCCUCAGUGACAUAAACUAUCAAUCUGGACAUGAGAAGGAUACAGAUGUGUAUAACCAGGACGAGGAGGGUUUGAAGGAAGUUGAACUGAGUGAUGAUUGUCAAUGUGAGAGCACAGAGGAGGAGUCCGAGGUAAACCAUCCACAUGCCUUUGCCAUCAAGCCUCAGAGAGAUCUGGAAGAGCUCAAUGGAAAUCUCCCUGACAUGAUAUUGACUGACUCUGACCUUACAGAACCUGACCAUGUGUGUUAUACAGAGAUACAGGAAGUACAAUACCCAGAUGAUGACAUGACCAGCCAUGUUGCCGCUGAGAUGAUAUUGAGUGGCACUGACCCUACAGAACCCCUGCCUAAACAUCUGUGUGAUACGGAUAAAGAGGAAGUUGAAUGUCCAGAACAUUAUAUGAACAUCCACGUUAACAUCACGCCUCAAGAAAAGAGGCCUGACGUGAUAUUGACCAACACUGACCUUACGGAACCUCGGCCUGAACAUGUGUGUGAUACAGAGAUACAGGAAGUAGAAUACCCCGAUGAUGACAUGACCAGCCAUGUUGUCUUUUCCAACGAGCCUCAGGAAGAGAGGCCGGAGAUGACAUUGACUGACACUGAACAUGUGUCGGAUAAAGAGAGAGAGGAAGUAGAAUAUCCGGAUGAUGAUAGACACAGCCAUGUUGCUUUUGCCAAAGUCCAGGAAAGUGUAAAUCUCCCUGAGAUAGAACCGGAACAUGUGUAUGAGGUGGAGAGAGAGGAAGUGGGAGUAGAAUAUCCAGAUGAGGUAAUCACUGAAGGUCCAGAACAUCUCAGUGAAAACAUCCCAGAGAUUUUGAGUGACACUGACCUCCAAGAACCUGGCAAUUUAUGUGAAGAAGAAAUACAGGAAGUAGAAUGUACAAGUGAUUAUAUGGACAGCCAGGUUUCCUUUGUCAGCGACACUCAGGAAUCAGAACAUCCCAAUGAAUAUCUACCUGACAUGAUAUUGACUGACACCAAGACUAAAGAACUUGACCAUGUGUGUGAUACAGAGAUACAGGAUGUAGAAUGCCCAGACGUUGAGGCAAACAAUCAUGUUACCUUUGACAAUGAGCCUCAGGAUGAAAAUCUCCCCGAGGUGGCUUUGAGUGACACUGGCCAUGUGUGUGAUUCAGAGAUACAGGAAGUAGAAUACCCAGGUGCAGACAUGACCAGCCAUGUGCCGUCAGUCUCUGAGAGGACAGUAGAAGACGAUAUGAAAGAAG